AUUGAACGCUGGCGGCAGGCCUAACACAUGCAAGUCGAGCGGAUGAAGGGAGCUUGCUCCUGGAUUCAGCGGCGGACGGGUGAGUAAUGCCUAGGAAUCUGCCUGGUAGUGGGGGAUGUCGUCCGGAAACGGGCGCUAAUACCGCAUACGUCCUGAGGGAGAAAGUGGGGGAUCUUCGGACCUCACGCUAUCAGAUGAGCCUAGGUCGGAUUAGCUAGUUGGUGGGGUAAAGGCCUACCAAGGCGACGAUCCGUAACUGGUCUGAGAGGAUGAUCAGUCACACUGGAACUGAGACACGGUCCAGACUCCUACGGGAGGCAGCAGUGGGGAAUAUUGGACAAUGGGCGAAAGCCUGAUCCAGCCAUGCCGCGUGUGUGAAGAAGGUCUUCGGAUUGUAAAGCACUUUAAGUUGGGAGGAAGGGCAGUAAGUUAAUACCUUGCUGUUUUGACGUUACCAACAGAAUAAGCACCGGCUAACUUCGUG
rnacentral:rRNA from 1 species